CAAUACGUCAGCGGCAGACGGGUGAGUAACGCGUGGGAACGUACCUUUUGGUUCGGAACAACCCAGGGAAACUUGGGCUAAUACCGGAUAAGCCCUUACGGGAAAGAUUUAUCGCCGAAAGAUCGGCCCGCGUCUGAUUAGCUAGUUGGUGAGGUAAUGGCUCACCAAGGCGACGAUCAGUAGCUGGUCUGAGAGGAUGAUCAGCCACAUUGGGACUGAGACACGGCCCAA
rnacentral:rRNA from 1 species